UGACAGCAACAGCUCCAUCGCUUGUGUUACUGUUAAGUCCUCUUGUGCACAUUUAUUUAUAACUUGACCAUGCAAUUUACAACAUUGUAAUCAAACUGAGAGGGAUUUGAUGCUGUAGGCUCUGACCAUAGUCGAGAAGGUGUUAUGUGGAGGAGAAUGCACUGUGGCUUCAACUCUUCUGGGGAAGCUGUCCACAAGGUUGCGGAGUGUGUUUAUAGGAAUUUUUGACCAUCCUUCCAGAAGCGCAUUGGUCAGGACUCUGUGCAGGCCAGUCAAGUUCAUCCACACCAGACUCUGUCAUCCAUGUCUUUAUGGACCUCGCUUUGUGCACUUGUGCACAGUCAUAUUGGAAGAGGAAGGGGCCCGCUCCAAACUGUUCACACAAAGA